rnacentral:tRNA from 1 species
GGAAAGAUAGCGAAGAGGCUAAACGCGACGGACUGUAAAUCCGCUCCUUCGGGUUCGGGGGUUCGAAUCCCUCUCUUUCCA